rnacentral:lncRNA from 1 species
GGAAACGUGGUAAAGGGGCGGUUUCCAGCAGGCUGGUGACAGUUGAAAGAGGAUUCCGAUAUUUGGUAAGAGGAGAGGGAGAGUGAAAAUAUUAAAAUGUACUUGUUUAACUGAGAUAUAAUCCUUCCUAUCUUGGCAAUAACUUAUGAUACUGGGUGAAUGAACUGAUAUUUAAUAAAGAGACAGAUUUUCAGUAUUCUUCUUUUGGCACUGGAGUAUCAUUAGAAUGAACUUCCAAAUGAACCAGCUUAAUCCCAGAGCUAGCCGUUCAAGAAGAAGGCGAAGAGAAAGCACUUGCUUUGGGGUUGAAAUUGAGGAUUCAAGAAGAAAUACAACUUUAUUCCUGGAAGGAUGGGGGAAAGAGAACUCAGAGAAGCUCAGUUGUGGGUCCUUCUAGUUGUGGCAUAUGGGACACCACCUCAGCAUGGCCUGAUGAGUGGUGCCAUGUCCGUGCCCAGGAUCUGAACAAGCGAAACGCUGGGCCGCUGAAGUGGAGCGCAUGAACUUAACCACUCGGUCGCGGGGCUGGCCCCCGUAGUUUGUAAUGUAACCCUUUUUCUACUCUAAAAGUUCAAAAAAGUGUAUUUUGAAAAUAUGUGUUUCCACUUCCAUGAGAAGCAGAUUAACAUGGUGAAAUGAGACCAGGGAUCAUGCAUUCUCUGAGUGUAGGACCAAGUCAUCAUUUUGUCUUCUGAGAUGUUAUGUGACUUUGGGCAGGUGCUGCCUACGUCAGAGCCUAUCAGAAAUAGUCUUAACAGCCAGUUGGAGGCAGCAGAGCAUAGCUGUAAAUACCAUGGACUCCAAAGUCAGACUGCCUGCCUUGAAAUCCUGGCUCUGCCACUUACACAUAAAAGUGUAACUUUGGAAAACUCACUUCUUUGUCUUUCGGUUUCCUCAUUUGUAUAAUGUAGAUGAUAUUAGUACCUCACAGGGAACCAGAUUUGCUGUGUCCAAAGCCCUCGCUUUUUCCAUUACAUCAUGCU